AACGAACGCUGGCGGCAUGCCUAACACAUGCAAGUCGAACGAGACCUUCGGGUAUAGUGGCGCACGGGUGCGUAACGCGUGGGAACCUGCCCUUAGGUUCGGAAUAACUCCCCGAAAGGGGUGCUAAUACCGGAUAAUGUCUUCGGACCAAAGAUUUAUCGCCUUUGGAUGGGCCCGCGUUGGAUUAGCUAGUUGGUAGGGUAAAAGCCUACCAAGGCGACGAUCCAUAGCUGGUCUGAGAGGAUGAUCAGCCACACUGGGACUGAGACACGGCCCAGACUCCUACGGGAGGCAGCAGUGGGGAAUAGUGGACAAUGGGCGAAAGCCUGAUCCAGCAAUGCCGCGUGAGUGAUGAAGGCCUUAGGGUUGUAAAGCUCUUUUACCCGGGAUGAUAAUGACAGUACCGGGAGAAUAAGCUCCGGCUAACUCCGU
rnacentral:rRNA from 1 species